GUGUGCAUAUAUAUGUGUGUGUAUAUAUAUGUAUGUAUCUGCGUGUGUGUAUAUAUAUAUAAUUUAAUCUUCACCACAACCCUCAAAAGUAUGUAUAAUUAGAGCUGAAUUAGGUGAGACUUUAGAUCUUAUUCACCAUUGUUUAUCCAUCUCCUAGUAUAGUAUCUGGUGAAAAAGCACUCAUUACACACUUAUGGAGUGAAAGAGAAAAUAGAUUUCUACUUUGCUGAUGAUAAAACUGAGGCUUAGAGAAUUUGUGUCAUCUUUCCCAGUAUCAAUCAGCAGACCCAGGACUUGAAUGCAGGUAUGUCUGACAUAAAAAUAUAUGUUAUUAAGAGCAAACUGACGUACAAUACAAUAAUUUUUCUGUACAAAGUUAUUGGACAUAUACUUUGGAUCUCAUAUUGCCUAUGAAUAUUCUAAUAGAAUGAAACUUUGGUAUUAUCUCCAUUUUGUAAAAUUAUGUCGAUGUUCUAGAGCAGGGAUCAGUAAACUCUUCCUGUAGAGGGUCAGAUGAUAAGUAUUUUAGCCUUUGCUGACCAUACAGCCUUUGUCCCAGCUACUCAAUUCUUCCAUUGUAGUAUGUGGACAUGGCUGUAUUCUAGUGAAACUCUAUUUACAAAAUCAAGGAGUAGCCUGUAGACCAUCAUUUGCUGACCCCUGUUCUAGAAGAGUACCGGGAACCUAAUAGAGGUCCAAACAGUAUUAAUCGUCUAAGUGAGUGGCUGCAGUAAGUGCUAGAGGGAAGCUCACCUCACCAGAAGUGGUUAAGUGGGGAGGUGGGGCCUUGGUAGGAUGCUGGCAGGUAGAGAUGGGUGGCAAUGGCUUUCCUCAUUGGAGGCAGAGUCUUGUGUGAUGUUAGGAGGCAAAAGUAUGCGAGGAAGGUGGCAUGUUGUUUUAACAAGUGAGCUGGAGAUUAGAGAUGUAAUGGAAUGAAUGUUUGACAGCUCAUUAGAGUCCUCACACAUAGCCAUAUCCCUUCUAAUCAGUGUCUGUCCAAUAGUUCACUCAGUAGUUAUUUUAAAAACAUUUAUUAUAUAUUAGGCACUGUGCUAAAAAACCUAGGUAUAAAAUAUUUAAAAAUUAAAUGUAGACCCUGCUCUCACAGAACUUGCCUUCUAUUGGGAAUAUAUACGUUAAAAAACACACGUGAAUAUGAAUAUGAAACCUGUUAAAGAAGGAAGAUCCUUUAAGAGAAUAAAGUACAUGUUCAUUAUGAAAAUUUUGACUGUACAGAAAAUUCUAAAAGAGAAAAUCAAAUUUACUUCUAGCUGUGCCAGAGACAGUCAUUAUAAACAUUUUUGAUGUGCUAUAUUUCCUUCCAGGCUCAGUGUGUGUGUGUGUGUGUGUGUGUGUGUGUGUGUGUCAGAGACAAAGAGAGAGAUGAAUGGAGAAUGCUAGGAUUCUAUGCAAAACAACAUCAUCUAUAGGGUUUGUUUGUUUGCUUUUGCCCCAGACACAAACUGUUAGCAUUUUUCUAUGAUAUUCUAUAGUUGAACCACAAUUUUGCCUGUUGCCUAAUAAUGAAAGUUUAGAUUAUUUCCAAUAUUUGCUAUACUAAUUCUGAAAUAUAUAAAUAAUGUAUUUGGUUAUGUUAUAGACUCUAAAUCAUGUCUUUGGUUAUGUUUUAGAACAAGUUUCUAAAAGUAGCUUACUGGGUUAAAUGGUAUGAACAAUUAUGUUUCUAGAUGAUAGGACUAAAUUACCUUCUAAAAUGGCUAUCCCAAGGAAUACCUUUGUAAUUACUGUAGGCGUUUUCCACUUUUGUUCUAUCCAUAUUUUGCUUCCACCUCACAUUGUCACAAAUUUUCAAGGUGCUUAAGUUUAUCCUAGGAAACUUAUGUGGGGUGAAGAUCAGAGAAAAAAUUCUUAAAGAUACAGCCAUUGAAUUUUAAUUUGAUCCCAUUGCCCUUCUACCCCGCAAAGCUCCAGGUACUUCGACCCUUUCUGAGAGGAGAGGCAGGCUCAAUUCUCAGCCUCUGCCAUUAAGCACAUGGGUGAGUAGUUUGUACCCUGGGAUUCAGUUGCCCACCUAUAUUAAAUAAAAUUACUUUCAUGGUUCCAGGGCAUCAUUUGUAGAUGAGUAUAUGGAACCUGGUGACCCAGAAAUGUUAAUUUUCUUCAAACUGAACAAGUUUCUAAAGGCAAGAUUACUGGAUUAAAUGGUAUGAACAAUUAUGUUUCUAGAUGAUAGGAAUAAAUUUCCUUCUAAAAUCGCUGUUCCAAGGAAUACCUUUGUAAUUGCUAUGGCCCUUUUCCACUUUUGUUCUGUCCAUAUUUUCAGUGAGCGAUUUUUAGUCCACUUUCAAAGUAUAUUGGCUGUCUGCAUUUCAGCAGUCUUUGGGGGUUACAGUUGGGAGUCGGUGUGAAAUCUCAAUUCAUUUAGCCUGAGUAUUUAUUUAGAACAUUCUUCCUCUUUGAAGUGUCUUGGGUUAUUGAAAUAAAAAUAUUAAGCUCUUUGAGGCAUUUUUUUAAUUUAAAAAAGUUUAUACAAUAUUUUAAAAAUUAUACGCAGGAUAAGCACAUAAAAUUUAAAGGAUGGAUGGAUGGAUGGAUGGAUGGAUGGAUGGAUGGAUGGAUAGAUGGAUGGAUGGGCAGUUGAAUGGAUAAAUAUUUGUGGUGGUUAGUAGGUGACCCAGUUGCCUUCUCAGAGGACUAAAAGUGUUAAAGCAUCUUCUAGAAACUCCAAGUUUCAAUGGAGAUUUGGGGGUGCAAUAUUAAAAUCUACUUUUCAUCCUCUUCCUCUUCUGUCUUGGAGCCAAGGGUAGGUGGGAUUAAUUAGAGUAGCGCAGAUCUGUAGGGACAUGCAAACUGGAACUCAUCAAUGGUGCCAGUUUAAAAGGAGAAGAUAUGACAGGCAGAGAAGAGCUUCCCUAGAACCCUGAACUAUCAGAAGAGAUUAGGACAGUUUAGUGUUUCCAGCUGACAUAUCCUGCAAUGACUAAUUUCUAAUCCCUUUUCCUAUUCUGUAGGAUUAGCCUGGGUGAAACUGACAUACUAUGUUUUAGAAGUCAAGACCUUCUGGUCACUUAAUAGGAUAUAGAGGGAAAGUUUUGGGUGCAGUUCCAUUUGUGAACAAGAUGUAUUUUUCUGUAGGUUCUCUGACCCCUUCUGGGGUCAGAGAUCAGAAACUUGGUAAGCACCCACCAGGACCUACAAAUCUCUGUGCACUGUGGAAAAAAAAAAAAGCAAAAGCAGUCUGAUUAUCGUAUUGUACUUCAGCUGGCAACAUGCUUACUCAGUCCUCAAGCUUCCUCAGCACAAUUUGAGAUGGAAAUUUUCUGAUCAGAAUUUUUCCUAUAAGUCUUAGAAACUUGGAUUUGAGCCCAUUAUGUAAGCCAGGGUUUUUUUUUUUUUUUUUUCCAAUUACUUGACAAGCAGGUUGCCUUUGAGUCACUCAUAUGAAUGGCCUUGAUGUAGACAUUGGCACAUGCUGAAAAGGCAAAAAAAAAAAAAAAUUUACUUUUCUUUGACCCUUUAAGAAGAUUAGUCUGUUCACAGUUUUCUCCUGUGCUUAUAAACCUUCAUGUUUCCUGCCUGUCCUCUCAUCUUUUAAGUCUCUCCUAAUUGAUCUUCAAAGCAUUGAGGCUGGCUUGUGCUGGGUCCUCACUACUCCAGGCCAUUCCUGCUUCCCCUUCCCUGGUACCUGCAAGGCCUGCCUCCAGUCCACAUUUUCCUGUGAAGUUUUUCCUGAAUUCCUCAAGUUGUUUGAUCACCACAGCAAUCCUAUGAGCUUAUAGAUAUUUUCCCCAUUUCACGAAUGUGGCAACUGAGGUCCAAGUUCAGACAGCUAGAUCUAAAGACACAGAUCCUGCACGUCAUCUCCCCAACAAGACAGACACUCCAAGAAGGCAGUGACCACAUCUUUCCCUCUAGUUUACCAUACAAAGGACAGUAGGGUUCUUGGCACACAGGUGCUUAGUAAUGGUUUUUGAAUUUGAUUUCAAUUUGAGAGUAGAUUAACAGCAUUUCUGUAGUUAGGAGAGCAGCCAGUUACAUAUUCUUUUCUUGGGAGUUUAGACUUGCAGGUCCCUCUGAAUGAGGUAAAGCCAGGUCCUCCUACCCCAACUAAAGUUUAAAGAUGCAGGGGAGAUGUCAAAAGAUGUGAUCUGAGAUUUCUGCAAUCACUUGGAAACUGUACUGGCUAAUUAAGAUCAUAAUAGAUUAUUUAUUCUUUCAUUCACUCGUGUUUAUGCGUGUGUUCUUUCACUCUUUAACCAUUCAGCAGGUAUUUACUGAGCAACUGAAACUUCAUUCAUAUUAUAUGAGUUAUUACAUGAUAAUAUCAAUAAGAAAAAUUAUGUGAAAGUUUAUUAAUAUUGGCUAUGAGGGGGAUGAAAGCAGCAAGCCAAAAAAAAAAAAAAACAAUGCUGUAUUUUAAAGAAAGUCAAAGGUAGCUUCAUCCAUGAUAAAAAGGGCCCAGGGAAAAUGUAUACUUAAAAUAGCAUGAUGGCUUUUGUUUUACCUGUUUGUGUGGACCUGUAAAACGUUUUAAGAUGAGAGCUAUAAAAGGAAAAGCAGGAUGGUGGUGCCACAUCACAAAGCAAUUUUAAUCUGCUAGAUACCUUGAGAGGAAACCAUAGUCCAAGAUAAAGGUAAAAUCACUAGAAAAAUUGUUUUCCUGAUUUUUGUGUUUUUGCUCUUAUACCUUUUGGUUGAAUCUCUCCAAUAAGAUGGAAAAACACUUAAUAGUGCUAAAUACCAUAUUUUCUUCAUCUCUCCAAGGUAAACUUCAGAUAGAAUUUCUUUUUUUUCCCUACACAAAACUGUCCUUCAUACUACCUCCUUUCCCUGAUGUUCUAAUCUAUACAUAGGCCACGUUCUACUCUCUGAUGUAGACAAGCAAGAGACUUGGCACCUUGAAAUUUGAAUAGAAACCCAAAGAGCCCAUGUUGUUGAGCUGCUAUUUAUGUCCUGUUCAUUUACAUGGUAGUUUUGUGAUAUUCCUUGUUGCUUUCACAGAAAGGUUUCUCAGGCUAUUUCAUACCAACAUGAACUUAUCUGGGGGGUUUGCCACGCUUACUGGCUCUUGACUCCCUCUUUUUUUAAAACUUUUAUUUUAGGUUUAGAAGUACAUGUGUAGGAUUGUUAGAUAGAUAAGCUGCAUGUCACAGGGGUUUGCAACAUGCACAUUAUUUGGUUACCCAGGUAAUAAAUAUCUUACUCCCUCUUAACCAUCAAAACAACUGAUCAAACAAUUCAGUUGUCUUUGGCACUGCUGAUAGUUUUCAACUCUUAAGAAUUGCCCCUUCCUCUUGCUUUUAAAUUAGUUCUUCAAUAAACCAACUUCUCCAAACAGGUUGAUACAUUAGCAGCUAAAUAUUAGGCAAGGAAGGAGUUAUGUAAAAUAGUAAUGUCAUCUUAUACUUGUGGGAGGGGUUUUGUAUUUCUGCAAAGCAUUUUCACAGCUCUUAUCUACUCUGCUCAACAAAUAUAAAGAGUAAAUUUCCUUUAUUCUCAUUUUUUCAGUGAGAAAACUGAGAUCCAGUGGAGUUAAUCAACUUGUCUAUGAUCACAUACCUAGUUUAUGGUGGAGAAAAGACUGAGGUUUAGAGACUGAUUCAUAAAACCGAGCUCUUUCUAUGAUAUUGGAAUAUCAGAUAAAUCAAUAAACUCCCAACUAGAUGAAAUCUUAUAGUCUUGGAAAAAAGUGCAUCUGCUUGCUGACUCUCUGUAAGACACUGACCACUAACAUUUUUAGAACAAGGUUCUUUGGGUGGAACAACUUGGUGUGCUUUACACCUUUGAUUUUGGGGCUUGGGCAUGGGUUGUGUCUCAUUCCUAAAGUCACUCAUUGUUACUCUUGCCAAGUGGAAGAGUCUCUGGAACCACAUUCCUGGACAGUGGUGCAAGCCUUAAAGCACUAGGGUUUGGUGAUAAUAAAGACAUAGAGAAGCCAGUGGAUUUACUUUUAUGUCAUGGCUGUAUAUUGCGCUCAAGUAUCUAACUCACAGAUAUCUACCAUUUGGAAUGAGCAAGAAAAUAGGUAAGAAAAACAAUGGAUUGAUCAUCACCAACACCAUUCUGAUCCCCAGAAACUAGUCACUAAUUUACUAGUGACUAGUAAACAACAUUUACUGAGUACUGUGUGUAUUUUUUUUGCCUCAUUUCCAUUUUAUUAUGUAAGCAGUGAAAUCUUUGAUAAGAAGAUGGGCUCAUUACUUAAAUCCUCUAACUGCAGUUGCCCCUAUGUAAAGUUAAGACAAUAGUAGUAACUACUUUCCAUGGUUGUUGUGAGGAUUAAGUGAGAUAAUACUUGUACAUGGCUAGUUCAGUCCCUGACACAGAUUAAACAUUCAGUGAGUAGUUGGUUGUUUUUAGUAGUUUUAGAAGACUUAAGUGGUCAUAAGUAUUAUUUGCACUGGACCACAUACAUUUUUACCCUCCCAACCCUAGAGUUUAGAAUUAUAUGAAAAAAGUAGUCAAGAAAACAGACUCUGGAGAUGACUGGGUUUGUAUCCUGGCUCCACCACUUGCUAGUCCUUGGGCAAGUUAUUUAACCUCUCUAAGCCCAGGUGCCUCAUCUGUAAAAUAAAGAUAACAAUGCUUAACCUCAUAAGGCUAUUGUAAGUAUUAAAAGUGACGGUGCCUGUAAUGUGCUCAUGACAGUCCCAGGAAAAUAGUAGGUAGUAAUUGCUAAAUGUUAAGCUGUAUUUUUAUUAAUGUUAGUACAGUUGGCUGGGCAUGGUGGCUUAUGCCUGUAAUCCCAGCACUUUGGGAGGCC
rnacentral:lncRNA from 1 species